GGAACUGAAUUGUUUUAGCUGCUGAGGAGCUGAUUCUUCCUUCUCUGCCAUUUCUGGUUUGUUGGUGGUGGUGAAAGGAGUGUGGAACCCAUCAUUUCUAAUGGUAGCUUCAGUAGUGCCAUUUAGUGUAAAAAUUUUUCAUGCCUCUUUGGAUCUUUGGAGAAGGUAUAGGAAUGGUAAAACAUCUGGAGGGAACAGAAAAGAUUGUGAGGUCUGGUAAUGCUUGGAGCUGUGCAGGGGUGUUUCCCUGAGGAAGUUGCCAGUAAUAUGUGUACUGCUGAGCUGACUGCAGCACUUCUUGCUACAGCACACCUGUAAAGAGGAUGAAUGAAUAGCAUGUACUCCUGUAGUUUCCUGUUUCUCCCAUCUGGAAUUUCUCCAGCAUGAGAAUGCAAAAGGUGAUAUAAACAGAUCUUAGACAAACAAGAAAGGUACUCCUGCAGUGGCACAGGAGGAAUUCAUGAUUCUUCAGCGGACCUGACAUGGGUUUCUGAGGCUCUGAAACAGGAUGACCAACCACACAGACAACUGGCAUUCAUUAGAGUAUUCUGUUCUCUUGAUGCCAAACAAAAUGUCUUCUGAGAAUUCCAGGCAAUCAUUAAGAUUAAAUGGAACAAUGAAGCUAAAUUAAUGAAGUUUAUCGGUCAGAUGACUCAGAAUAUUAUUAUGAGACUUACAGAGUACACUUGAAUGAUGUAGAGAGUUUUCAUUUUGUAGCAGAAACUGGAUCUUCAUAUAUGAUAAGUCAACAUACUUGCACCUGUUGAAGCUCUUUCAACAUCCCUAGUGAAAUCAAAAGUUUGUAAUUUGCUGGUCAGAAAGAAGUACACAUGGAACUAAUUAUUGUUCUACAUUCAUUUGCAACUGGGCAGAUGUGUUCUAGUGUAAAGCAACCAAUGGAAAUGCUUCCAUUCAAUGCUAUCAUUUUGAUGAGAGUAGAGUUUGGAAAAUGAGCUCCUUUGGCACAGUGGUAAAUGGUUUUCCAGAUCAAACUCUAGGCAGAGGUAUAGGUAACAAAUAUUCUUUCACCUUAGCAAUCUUCAUAGGAUAUCCUCUUUAUUUAAAUAUAUUUUUAUAUAUAUCUACACAAUAGUGAUAAAAAUAGCAUGGUUCUCUUGUGGAUUCUUAUUUUCAGUUUAUCUGAAACUUAUCUGAGUUUUCCUCCUUCUUUUUAUUUGAAAAGUCCAGUUAUUUUAGAGCUGAAAGCAAAUCCCUCAAACUAAACAUCUUUAGCUCCAUCAAGUCUGGAGCUAGAGAGUGAAAUACUGAGGAAUGACAGCAAAACAUACUUGAAGCUUUGGAAUACUUGUCCUAAAAGUACAAGUCAAAGAUGCAAGAUUGAAGGACAUUGCUCAAGAAAACUUCUCUCCUGCUGUGGCUUUUGGUGAACCUUGCAAUUAUUUUGUAUACUUGUAUUGCCUAAGGGACAAAUGAGGUCCGUGUCUUGUUGCAGUUCCUUGGAUACACUCUUUUCAUUUGGUGUUUUACUGAUGUGCUUUUGAAUCGUCUGGAAAUAGCAAAAGAGCAACCUGGUUAUGGGCAAAAGGCAUGUGUAGCAAUGGUCAUAGGGUGGCACCAGCAGCACACAGGACAGUUUGGGGGAUGACUAAAACCUGUACUGUUUUAAAGAAAAUGUCAGACCACAUUAAUUCAACUUGAAAGGGAAAGAACACCUAGCCUACAACGAAUGUAUUUGAACAGUAUGGGAGAUAGCUCGUUAAGAAUUUUAUAGGAAAACCUACUUCUAACAGAAUGGGAGAAGGGGAUAGGCUCUUGCGCAGUGUUCUAAACCAUUUACUGUAAAAGAUGGGUUAACUGUAUGCAAUUCUUACUCUUCUUAAUGGACUGAGCCUGCAUAAAAUUAAGAGAUACGUGGGCUUUGUAGCACAUGGGGCUUAGAGGUUAUUUAUAUGGUCUGCAAUAGUCAAGUAAGAAACCGUUUACUCGUGGACAUAUUAUAAAUAUAUUCUAAUUGCUAUCUGUGGUCAUGUUCUGAAGAUCAUGCAUUUUUUAAUGCAUGGCAAACUGCUGAAAUGUCCUUACUAGUUAUUUCUGCAUCAUAGCUUCCUCACUGAAAUGGUACUAGCACAAAGGUCUUCCAUUUUAAUAUUUCCACCAAGACUUUGAAAGCUCAUGAUGAAGGUGCAAGAGGGAUGUGACAGACAUUGCAUUAACAUAAAGCUCCGAGUAGUUAUGUUUCUGCUUCCCAGGCAAGCAGUUGCUCAGCUUCCUGUAAAAGCAUAAAGAGAUCCAUUAUCAGCCCUCUUGGGCAGAACUGCAAUACGGAGUGCUGUGCUUAAUAUUGCUUAUCACUAAUUUUGUGCAUGACAACUGAAGCAUGAACAAUAUCUGAGUGGGAAGCAAACUAGAUCUAUAGCUGCACAGUCAAGCCUAUCAAAAUAUACUGCUGAGCUCCUACAGCCAAACAAUUCCGCACAAUAUCAGCUGAAGCUGGGUGUUCCAGCUCACUGGGCCUCCACUCACCAUAUGCUUAUGCAGCGUCACCUGUAAUAACAAAUAGCUGUGUUCAAGGGUAGGGUACAUUAAAAAUUAGGAAGGGAUGCUGGAGUGAAAAUUGACAAGUAUUGUUGCAUGUUAUGUCUUACUAGUGCAAUAGUGAAAGACUCUUUUGCAUUAACACCAUAUUUAGAACAAGUAACUGAAAAAGUUUAGCUAGAUUAACUUUAUGUUAAUGUAAUAUUUUUCAUAUUUGUAAAGCAAAGGAGUCUUCAAAGGGUUUCAAGGCUUGUGAACUGCAGCGCAGAAAAGCUCAGCAACACUCAAGGGUUUUAAGAGAAAGUAGGACUUUCUCUUGGGAGGCUGAGGAUGUUUUUGGUUUAAUUCAAACAAACAAACAAAAAAAAGGUUAAAGCAAAGAGAGAGUCACCUCAUGUUUACUUUGCUUUCCUUUUUGUCUUGAUCCUGUUACUACAAUUCGCAUCUGAGCGGAUGGCCCCAGGCAGCUGAACAAAGCCCUGGUGGGUGGCUAGUGCCACUUGCCAGUAAGGUUACAACUGGGCUUACAUUAAAGUGUUGAAAGUUAAAAGGACAAAAUUGUGAGGCAAAGGGAUGAGGAAGGUUGUCAUUCCUUGGUGUUUGCUGCAGUCAGCGCAUUGAAACAUCUGAACAUCUUGCUGUGAGUUAAACAUCAUUUUGUUGCUGCCAGAUAAUCUCUACAAAAGAUACUUUCCUGCUGCACGGCUGCUUGGGAAUCCAGCUGUGGAGAGAGUCAGGACAGGAUUAUCAUGAGCUGCCUGUGAAAUCUCUUUAAUAAAUGUGGUUUCAUAUCUAAUGGUGAUUUGGAUAAAUACGAUCUCAGGCUGUUCAGACAUAGUGGUAGAUAGUAUAUUUUCCACCAAAAAUAUUUUCUCUGUUUAUUCUAAAAAUAAAAACACUGUUGCUACGAUUAAUGCUAAUCCUAACGGCCUUUUUUGUUCCUCUUUAACAUGUCCUUCUGAUAACACUGAGGGCAAUAAUAAGCUGAAGCCAAGCACAAGUCAAAUAGGCAAUUGCAGAGGGAAAAUAUUAGGAACUGCCAUAAAAUCAUAUGCCAUUAAUGGUGAUUUAUUUUGACCAUGAAAAACAAUACUUAUUCUUCUGUGAAUAUUUCAGAAGACCAGGACAGGUUAUUGGGAUGGGAUGAAAUAGAAAAUUGUUCAAUUCAACUGCACUUGCUUCAUUAGAAACUCUGGCAAUGCUGUUUUCCUUUUUAAAGUACCUGUUUUCUUUUCCAAAUAAUUUUUUCGAGAAUUAUGUUUAUGCUCUUGUAGUAAAUCAUGACUUCAUCUUUGUAACGUGUAUGUAUAAGCCAGCAUGCAUGCAUGAAAAUAAACAUGGAGUGUAACUUUGGAUGAAA